UUAAGUUAUUAAGGGCGCACGGUGGAUGCCUUGGCACUAGAAGCCGAUGAAGGACGUUACUAACGACGAUAUGCUUUGGGGAGCUGUAAGUAAGCUUUGAUCCAGAGAUUUCCGAAUGGGGAAACCCAGCAUGAGUUAUGUCAUGUUAUCGAUAUGUGAAUACAUAGCAUAUCAGAAGGCACACCCGGAGAACUGAAACAUCUUAGUACCCGGAGGAAGAGAAAGAAAAUUCGAUUCCCUUAGUAGCGGCGAGCGAAACGGGAAGAGCCCAAACCAAAAGCUUGCUUGUUGGGGUUGUAGGACACUCUAUACGGAGUUACAAAGGACGACAUUAGACGAAUCAUCUGGAAAGAUGAAUCAAAGAAGGUAAUAAUCCUGUAGUCGAAAAUGUUGUCUCUCUUGAGUGGAUCCUGAGUACGACGGAGCACGUGAAAUUCCGUCGGAAUCUGGGAGGACCAUCUCCUAAGGCUAAAUACUCUCUAGUGACCGAUAGUGAACCAGUACCGUGAGGGAAAGGUGAAAAGCACCCCGGAAGGGGAGUGAAAUAGAACCUGAAACCGUGUGCUUACAAGUAGUCAGAGCCCGUUAAUGGGUGAUGGCGUGCCUUUUGUAGAAUGAACCGGCGAGUUACGAUUUGAUGCAAGGUUAAGCAGUAAAUGUGGAGCCGUAGCGAAAGCGAGUCUGAAUAGGGCGUUUAGUAUUUGGUCGUAGACCCGAAACCAGGUGAUCUACCCUUGGUCAGGUUGAAGUUCAGGUAACACUGAAUGGAGGACCGAACCGACUUACGUUGAAAAGUGAGCGGAUGAACUGAGGGUAGCGGAGAAAUUCCAAUCGAACCUGGAGAUAGCUGGUUCUCUCCGAAAUAGCUUUAGGGCUAGCCUCAAGUGAUGAUUAUUGGAGGUAGAGCACUGUUUGGACGAGGGGCCCCUCUCGGGUUACCGAAUUCAGACAAACUCCGAAUGCCAAUUAAUUUAACUUGGUAGUCAGAACAUGGGUGAUAAGGUCCGUGUUCGAAAGGGAAACAGCCCAGACCACCAGCUAAGGUCCCAAAAUAUAUGUUAAGUGGAAAAGGAUGUGGCGUUGCCCAGACAACUAGGAUGUUGGCUUAGAAGCAGCCAUCAUUUAAAGAGUGCGUAAUAGCUCACUAGUCGAGUGACACUGCGCCGCAAAUGUACCGGGGCUAAACAUAUUACCGAAGCUGUGGAUUGUCCUUUGGACAAUGGUAGGAGAGCGUUCUAAGGGCGUUGAAGCAUGAUCGUAAGGACAUGUGGAGCGCUUAGAAGUGAGAAUGCCGGUGUGAGUAGCGAAAGACGGGUGAGAAUCCCGUCCACCGAUUGACUAAGGUUUCCAGAGGAAGGCUCGUCCGCUCUGGGUUAGUCGGGUCCUAAGCUGAGGCCGACAGGCGUAGGCGAUGGAUAACAGGUUGAUAUUCCUGUACCACCUAUAAUCGUUUUAAUCGAUGGGGGGACGCAGUAGGAUAGGCGAAGCGUGCGAUUGGAUUGCACGUCUAAGCAGUAAGGCUGAGUAUUAGGCAAAUCCGGUACUCGUUAAGGCUGAGCUGUGAUGGGGAGAAGACAUUGAGUCUUCGAGUCGUUGAUUUCACACUGCCGAGAAAAGCCUCUAGAUAGAAAAUAGGUGCCCGUACCGCAAACCGACACAGGUAGUCAAGAUGAGAAUUCUAAGGUGAGCGAGCGAACUCUCGUUAAGGAACUCGGCAAAAUGACCCCGUAACUUCGGGAGAAGGGGUGCUCUUUAGGGUUAACGCCCAGAAGAGCCGCAGUGAAUAGGCCCAAGCGACUGUUUAUCAAAAACACAGGUCUCUGCUAAACCGUAAGGUGAUGUAUAGGGGCUGACGCCUGCCCGGUGCUGGAAGGUUAAGAGGAGUGGUUAGCUUCUGCGAAGCUACGAAUCGAAGCCCCAGUAAACGGCGGCCGUAACUAUAACGGUCCUAAGGUAGCGAAAUUCCUUGUCGGGUAAGUUCCGACCCGCACGAAAGGCGUAACGAUUUGGGCACUGUCUCAACGAGAGACUCGGUGAAAUCAUAGUACCUGUGAAGAUGCAGGUUACCCGCGACAGGACGGAAAGACCCCGUGGAGCUUUACUGUAGCCUGAUAUUGAAAUUCGGCACAGCUUGUACAGGAUAGGUAGGAGCCUUUGAAACGUGAGCGCUAGCUUACGUGGAGGCGCUGGUGGGAUACUACCCUAGCUGUGUUGGCUUUCUAACCCGCACCACUUAUCGUGGUGGGAGACAGUGUCAAGCGGGCAGUUUGACUGGGGCGGUCGCCUCCUAAAAGGUAACGGAGGCGCUCAAAGGUUCCCUCAGAAUGGUUGGAAAUCAUUCAUAGAGUGUAAAGGCAUAAGGGAGCUUGACUGCGAGACCUACAAGUCGAGCAGGGUCGAAAGACGGACUUAGUGAUCCGGUGGUUCCGCAUGGAAGGGCCAUCGCUCAACGGAUAAAAGCUACCCCGGGGAUAACAGGCUUAUCUCCCCCAAGAGUUCACAUCGACGGGGAGGUUUGGCACCUCGAUGUCGGCUCAUCGCAUCCUGGGGCUGUAGUCGGUCCCAAGGGUUGGGCUGUUCGCCCAUUAAAGCGGUACGCGAGCUGGGUUCAGAACGUCGUGAGACAGUUCGGUCCCUAUCCGUCGUGGGCGUAGGAAAUUUGAGAGGAGCUGUCCUUAGUACGAGAGGACCGGGAUGGACAUACCUCUGGUGUACCAGUUGUCGUGCCAACGGCAUAGCUGGGUAGCUAUGUGUGGACGGGAUAAGUGCUGAAAGCAUCUAAGCAUGAAGCCCCCCUCAAGAUGAGAUUUCCCAACUUCGGUUAUAAGAUCCCUCAAAGAUGAUGAGGUUAAUAGGUUCGAGGUGGAAGCAUGGUGACAUGUGGAGCUGACGAAUACUAAUCGAUCGAAGACUUAAUCAA
rnacentral:rRNA from 1 species